rnacentral:rRNA from 1 species
CCAAUAGCGUAUAUUAAAGUUGUUGCAGUUAAAAAGCUCGUAGUUGAACUUCAGGCCCGGUCGGACGGUCCGCCUUCUGGGUGUGUACUGUCUCGGUUGGGUCCUACCUUCUGGCGAAGCGGCAUGGCCUUAAUUGACCGUGUCGGGGAACCAGGACUUUUACUGUGAAAAAAUUAGAGUGUUCAAAGCAGGCAUGUUAGCUUGAAUACAUUAGCAUGGAAUAAUGGAAUAGGACGAUGGUUCUAUUUUGUUGGUUUCUAGGACCGUUGUAAUGAUUAAUAGGGAUAGUGGGUGGCAUUAGUAUUCAAUUGUCAGAGGUGAAAUUUUUGGAUUUAUUGAAGACUAACUACUGCGAAAGCAUUUGCCAAGGAUGUUUUCAUUAAUCAAGAACGAAAGUUAGGGGAUCGAAGACGAUCAGAUACCGUCGUAGUCUUAACCAUAAACUAUGCCGACUAGGAAUCGGGCGAUGUUAAAAAAUGACUCGCUCGGCACCUCAUG